UUGCCUUGUUCGUGUAUCUCCGUUGCUGUUCGCUGAGGGUGAGACGCGAAGAGAAGAUGCUGACCCGCACCAUCGUGCCUCGCUAUCUUCGUCGAGCCUUCAUCAUUGUCGCUCCCUAUUCCCGUUGCCAUCAGGGUUUGCUACCGCUGCCAUUCAGAGUGACGCAGCAGAGGAGGAGUCGUUCCUCUUCCGCCGCCGUCGCCGGAGACCUUGGUUGCUGCUAUUCAUAUGGUUGUUGGAAUCAUUACAGCUGGAACUUGUCACCGGGGGAGAGAAGCGGCUGCACUAUCCUCUUCGUUUUGACAUUGAACCUCUAUUCCUAACCCUUAUUAUGGUGUUAUGCUAAAAUUGCCGAUAUUGCCGUUGCUGCGAGCGUAACUAGAAUUGAUGCUGCUGCCGCCGUCUCGGUUGCGUUGAAAUCGCCGCUGCAGUUGCCA